rnacentral:rRNA from 1 species
GAUGAACGCUGGCGGCGUGCCUAAUACAUGCAAGUCGAGCGAACAGACGAGGAGCUUGCUCCUCUGACGUUAGCGGCGGACGGGUGAGUAACACGUGGAUAACCUACCUAUAAGACUGGGAUAACUUCGGGAACCCGGAGCUAAUACCGGAUAAUAUAUUGAACCGCAUGGUUCAAUAGUGAAAGACGGUUUUGCUGUCACUUAUAGAUGGAUCCGCGCCGCAUUAGCUAGUUGGUAAGGUAACGGCUUACCAAGGCAACGAUGCGUAGCCGACCUGAGAGGGUGAUCGGCCACACUGGAACUGAGACACGGUCCAGACUCCUACGGGAGGCAGCAGUAGGGAAUCUUCCGCAAUGGGCGAAAGCCUGACGGAGCAACGCCGCGUGAGUGAUGAAGGUCCUCGGAUCGUAAAACUCUGUUAUUAGGGAAGAACAAAUGUGUAAGUAACUAUGCACGUCUUGACGGUACCUAAUCAGAAAGCCACGGCUAACUACGUG